CGAUCAUUCUGCGCAUGUGCAUGGCGUGAGGGGUUGGGGGUAGGAGUUUGCGCGUGCGCAAAAGUGUGGGGAAAGCCAGAGAAGGGGGGUUGGAGGCGGUAUUGACAGCUGUGAAGGCAGCCCGCGUUCCCGGCAUGCCCCGGGGCGGCGGGGUUGGCUCUAACGAAUUUGAAUGAGGAGCCUUAGCGCUUUCGGCGCCAUUUUCGAGUGGUGCCUGAUCUCAUCAAUCUAGCGGGAGAGACGGGAAAACCUGUCCGAGAGUAUAUCGCCACUAGGACUCCACCGAAAAAUCACUAAAAAAAUCGCCCAAAAUUACUUCGAGCAAAGGGCAGUCCGCGGAGUUUCGCCAGGGUUGGCGCAGUCGGUUUUGACCUUUAGGAGAGAGCCAAUUCUGGAGAACAACCUAACUUCUUUGAUUGAACAUUCACAUAAUGCAUUGGAACACGAUAGGAGAUUAAGAAAAAAUUCCUUCUUAAGUAAGUCUAUCCUGUAGUGAUGUAAACAGACCUGCUAGGUUUAAUAAUAAUAAGAUGAAGACCAUAGUAAAACAGCACCCUACUUAGUUCAGCAUUUCUUAACCUUUCUAUUACCUACUUGAUGAAGAUGUCUUUUGAAAGAUGUACUUCAAGGAAUGAAACGCUGUUUGUAACUUACACUUUUACCAAGAAAAUCUACAAAAUAAAAGAAGUUCUUAAAGAAUCAUUUCCAAUUACAGCUGUCUAUUUUGGAAACCCUAAAAGUGUAUCAGAUGUAAUUUAAGGAAUCAAGGAUCUUCUGUUUAAAUUCUAAUUUGAAGUUGAUGCCAAAUAAUUCCAAUGUUGAGCAUCUUAAAUCUGUUACUUGGAGUAUGGAUUGAGUUUGGAGCUAACUCAGAGGACUGCAGGCAAGUAUCCAGGAGACAGCGAGAGGAAUAUUCAACAAUUCAGUUUGCAUCCUAUUUUCAAAUGCAAAUCUUUGAAGAUUACACAUGUUGAUACGUGAUAGUGGAUUUGAAAAUUUGGCCAUACACUAAAUUCUAUAUUUAAUAAUAAAGUAUUCUUCAGUUAUAUAUUCUUUAGGUUGUUACAGAAGUAAAGGUGUUUUAAGGUACUAAAUGUCAUUACCGAUACAUGUCCAUGUUAGCCAUAAUUGGAUUACCAAAAUUAUACUUUCGUGAACUAUGACCUCUCUCUAAGGUAUUUAUUUAUUUAUUUAGAAGUUGACUUUCUAAAUCAAUUUU